AUUUUGAAUAAGAGUAUGUAGAAAAAAAAGUGGAUCUUGCACCAAGAGUUCCUCCUUCUUCCAAUUUAUGCUUCAGACGAUGAAUUUAGCGUUGUCUUCUCCCUUUGAAUCUCUCUCCCUUUCUCUCAAGAAGUGUUUUUGCCUCUAGAAUGUGUGGAACCCCCUUAAAGUGUGAGGAAUUUCGUAUUUAUAGGUCACUUUCCGUUGGAAGAAUAGGGUUUUCAUAUGGACUCAAAAAGGGCCAAAAUUGCGCACUAACGCAUAUGGGAUGCGGCAUCACAGCGUCGCGUCAAAAAGUAGGUGGUGGCGCUGCAGCGCACCGUGCCACCUCUCUGAAUCUCCCGGCGCCACUUUUCAAACAGACAACAUGCACCUUUUUCAGUAUUUUUAGUAUAACGUUCUCUCCCGAUAUCCAAUUGAGGCAAUUCAAGAUGUGUUGGAAAGCUAACUCAAAGAGUUACAACUUUGCUUCGAACAUCAUUCUCCGAUUAGAUCGUUUUCCAUGUCAAAAAAGGUCUUAAUGUGAGUUUGAAGUUUUGGAGCAUAGCUUUUCGAUUGAAAAAUGAUUUGUGAUCAUAUUUGCCUAAAUUUGAUCCCUUUGAUAUCUUUCUUUAUCCAAUUAACUCCUAACGCUCUCAGAUCUUCAUCUUGAGGUUUGACGCAGCUUUUGAAUAUUUGCACUUUAGUCCCCGAACUUUGGAUUUCAUAUGAUUUAGCUAUUUUUUCCAAUUUUGCCUACUUUUGCUUCUUUCCUUCAUAAAAUUUUACCUAUUAAACAUAAAAUACAAACAUUUAGGAUAUAAUUUGUUGAAAGAACCAUCAAAUAUCGCUAUUUAAGGUACUGAAUAAGUGAAUAAAAUACACUUAUCAAAUACUCCC
rnacentral:lncRNA from 1 species